GACGAACGCUGGCGGCGUGCCUAAUACAUGCAAGUUGAGCGCUGAAGGUUGGUACUUGUACCAACUGGAUGAGCAGCGAACGGGUGAGUAACGCGUGGGGAAUCUGCCUUUGAGCGGGGGACAACAUUUGGAAACGAAUGCUAAUACCGCAUAAAAACUUUAAACACAAGUUUUAAGUUUGAAAGAUGCAAUUGCAUCACUCAAAGAUGAUCCCGCGUUGUAUUAGCUAGUUGGUGAGGUAAAGGCUCACCAAGGCGAUGAUACAUAGCCGACCUGAGAGGGUGAUCGGCCACAUUGGGACUGAGACACGGCCCAAACGCCUACGGGAGGCAGCAGUAGGGAAUCUUCGGCAAUGGACGAAAGUCUGACCGAGCAACGCCGCGUGAGUGAAGAAGGUUGUCGGAUCGUAAAACUCUGUUGGUAGAGAAGAACGUUGGUGAGAGUGGAAAGCUCAUCAAGUGACGGUAACUACACAGAAAGGGACGGCUAACUACGUG
rnacentral:rRNA from 1 species